UGCAGUCGAACGGCAGCGGGGGCUUCGGCCUGCCGGCGAAGUGGCGAACGGGUGAGUAAUGCAUCGGAACGUGCCCNUGUCGUGGGGGAUAACGUAUCGAAAGGUACGCUAAUACCGCAUACGUCCUGAGGGAGAAAGCGGGGGAUCUUCGGACCUCGCGCGAUUGGAGCGGCCGAUGUCGGAUUAGCUAGUAGGUGAGGUAAAGGCUCACCUAGGCGACGAUCCGUAGCGGGUCUGAGAGGAUGAUCCGCCACACUGGGACUGAGACACGGCCCAGACUCCUACGGGAGGCAGCAGUGGGGAAUUUUGGACAAUGGGGGCAACCCUGAUCCAGCCAUGCCGCGUGAGUGAAGAAGGCCUUCGGGUUGUAAAGCUCUUUCGGCCGGGAAGAAAUCGUGGUCUCUAACAUAGGCCAUGGAUGACGGUACCGGACUAAGAAGCACCGGCUAACUACGUGCC
rnacentral:rRNA from 1 species